rnacentral:rRNA from 1 species
GACGAACGCUGGCGGCGUGCUUAACACAUGCAAGUCGAACGGAAAGGCCCUGCUUUUGUGGGGUGCUCGAGUGGCGAACGGGUGAGUAACACGUGAGUAACCUGCCCUUGACUUUGGGAUAACUUCAGGAAACUGGGGCUAAUACCGGAUAGGAGCUCCUGCUGCAUGGUGGGGGUUGGAAAGUUUCGGCGGUUGGGGAUGGACUGGCGGCUUAUCAGCUUGUUGGUGGGGUAGUGGCUUACCAAGGCUUUGACGGGUAGCCGGGCUGAGAGGGUGACCGGCCACAUUGGGACUGAGAUACGGCCCAGACUCCUACGGGAGGCAGCAGUGGGGAAUAUUGCACAAUGGGCGGAAGCCUGAUGCAGCAACGCCGCGUGCGGGAUGACGGCCUUCGGGUUGUAAACCGCUUUCGCCUGUGACGAAGCGUGAGUGACGGUAAUGGGUAAAGAAGCACCGGCUAACUACGUG